UGUGUGUGUUUUAUCAUUGUGCACAGAACAAAAACAGGGAAGAGGGGGGCGAAGAAUAUCUCCUAUAGUAUCAUGUACAGAAAUUUUCUAUUUAGUUGAUUGGUAAGACUGAGGAGUUGGAAUGGGUUUGAGAGAAUACCUACAACAGACAUUAUCGUUUGUCAGCAUCGCAGAGAAAUAUUUUCUUUCGAGCGGUUAUUCUUGUUCGCCAUUGUGCAACGAUAUACUUUUUAUGUUGCGUGAAACGUAAUUAAAUACGGUAACAAACGGUAAGCGCUUGAUAUCUAUGAAAGACACGCAUGUUCCUAUCAAGUAACGAGAAAGUCGUGCUGGAUACAGGGGCAGCUUGAUAAAUGGAACGUACAAUCGAUCAGUUCCUGACCUUUUUCUACUUAGGCAAUGAUCGAUACAAUAGGUGUUUCGAGUUAAAAUGUAUUCAUGGUUAGGAGACGAUGUGCUAGAAUUUAUCGGAUUGAUUUUCUCAUCAGGGAGAAGAAUAACAAAUAUGUCGAAUGCUCGGAAUGAAUUAAAAAACGAGUGGCAAGAGCUUCAACAAUUUCAAACAGCCUUGGACAAAGCUCAACAAGAGGUUACGAACCUCGAUCAGAAAUUGUGUCACGCCAGAAGAAAUCUAGAAGAAGAGAAACGUAAGCGUCGAAUGGUCGAGAAACAGAGAGAUUUAUUGGAGAGCCAAAUUAGUGCGGUUCGAGAGAUAUUAUUUCACAACGAGGAAGUAAGCUUGGACGAAGGGAUAAAGAAGAGAUUACAAUUUCUUAACAAACCUGUCAUCACAAGGAGCAAACAUAGCGUGCAUAUCAGUGAUACGCAGAACGACAGGCAGCUGAAUGCGAUAAUGGAAAUGGACUCUACAGGUUCGAUAUUGAGCGAUUUAAAUUGUUUGUCAAAGUCAGAAGAUGAUUUGGAUACUAACGUUACGCUCUUACAAAGUCAGAAGCACGAAUGGGAAGAACACACAGCUAGUUGUGAAAGUUUAGGCAAACAACACAAUACACUGGUCAGAGUCGCAGAAUUUAACUCAUCGGACAGAGCAGCAGCUAAAUCAAGCGAUGGUACAUACAUGGUGUCUUGUCAAACUCAAGACACAUCUGGUGGCAACGAAAAUGUCAAUUCUAAAGUGUCGGAAACAAGAGUACAUGCGAAUCAUAUAUUUGUGUCAAAGAUGGUGAUUAAACCAGAAACGUGCACUCCUUGCGAAUCCGCUUUGGGAAAAUAAUGCUAAAAUGUAGGGAUUGUCCGAUAAUGUGUCACAUGGAGUGCAAGACUACAAUUUGGCAACUAUGCGUUCGCGAACAGUCAACAGCUUUAUGCGGCUAAAAGCAUCGUGUAUGAAUCAGUGGGCUCAACAAUGGGCUAAAUUGGAUAAAUCAGAACGAGAGGACAUCCCACACGAUGCAGUCAACUAGGAAAUUGUUUAAAUCUUAUUGGCAUUGAGACGUGUGUGUGUGUGUGUGAGAGAGAUGUGUACACACAUAUGCAUUGUAUAUAUAUAUAGAUAUGUGUGCGUGUAUACGUAUGUGUAGAUAUUGUUUUGUACAUUGAAUCAAGUUAGCAGGAAAAUAUCUUAAAAAGUACACGAAUCGGGAGUAUCUUAUUAAUAAACAGCAUUUAUACAA
rnacentral:misc_RNA from 1 species